UUAGGUUCUUAUGUUCUUAUUAUGUAUAGGAUAGAUGUCGCUUAAGGUAGUGGAAGACUCCCCACAUUGCCUCACCACGGUACCUGAAUCUUGAUCUGGAGAGACCACAUCUAGGGGUGAGGGUAAAUCAGUCUCAUUCAUCCUUGCCAACA
ensembl:misc_RNA